UUUUUUCAUGACGAUCAAUAAAAAACUUUUGUUUUUCUUCAUGACGACCAAAGAAAAACAACAUUGAUACCCCUGUCUACGUUUUUGCGGGCAUGCAAACCUGGGCUGUUUAGAGUAUUAACCUCCGAACUUAUCAAUGCACCAUCAAGACACCAAAUAAACUCAACACAAUGGUUAUACUUGACUUUAUAAUUUGCAUGAAAAAAGGCAAGGCAAGGCAACUUUAUUUAUAUAGCACUUUUCAUACACAAGGCAGACUCAAAGUGCUUCACAUAUAAACAUUGUCAUACAAUAAAAUAAAAUAAUAGAUAAGUAAAGAAAAACAUAUGCAAAGAAAUGAGUAAAAUAGAAAAUAAAGGCAAAGUAUUUAAGAUUUAGCUGAAAGCUAAAGCAAACAUAAAAUAGAAAAAGGCAUUUUAGUAUUAAAAUAGAAAAUAAAGGCAAAGUUAAAAAAGCUUUUUAGAAAGUGCAAUGUAUUUAAGAUUUAGCAGAAAGCUAUAGCAAACAUAAAAGUCUUCAGUCUUGUUUUAAAGGUGCUCAGAGUUGGGGCAAGUCUUAAAUCAAAUAUAGAGAAUAAAAAUAGAGUUAAGAGUCUUCCAACAGAGGACAUCAACCAGACUUGAAUCCCCGGUCUCCAAGGGGUUAGCUCACAGCUCUCUCCACUUCCCACUGAGAUUUAUAAUUUAAAUAUGUCUGCGGUUAUAUAUGACAAUAUAUAUGCAAUAGACAUGAUAGCAUUACGUUUCAAAUUAAAGAUAUUAUGUUUUCCACAGAAAUGUAGCCGCGGUCGCCAGUGGGUGAGGCAGAGUACACUCCACUGCACCACUGAGGCGAUGACACUACACAAUAAUCGAUCAUCAAUAAAGAGGAUAUACAUGACAUUAAAAUGUAUGUGUGUAUUUCUAUUAUUUCCCUUACGUUUUUUUCAUGACGACCAAUAAAAAACGACAGUGCUACCCCUUAUGUUUUUUUCAUGACGACUGAUAAAAAACGACAGUGUUACCCCUUAUAUUUUAUUUGACAAAGACAAUCGUGCCCAGGCUCUUCGUAGACGGGCUCUGGUUAAAGGAAGCAUCGAGGCUCCUUAUGUUUUUCUUCAUGACGACCAAUAAAAAACAACAGUGUUGCCCCUUAUGUUUUUUUCAUGACGACCGAUAAAAAACGACAGUGUUACCCCUUAUGUUUCAUUUGAUUAAAACGACAGUGUUACCCCUUGUGUUUCAUUUGAUUAAAACAACAGUGUUACCCCUUUAGUUUUUUUCAUGACGACCAAUAAAAAAGAACAGUGUUACCCCUUAUGUUUUUUUUCAUGACGACCAAUAAAAAACAACAGUGUCAUAGAUCGCUAACUAGCAGAGAGUUGUAAGCACUUUCCACCCUUUUCAGUGGAGGAAUUGGACUCCCCAAGCAAUGUUAUACUUAAAAGGAGCAAGUAAGUUACAUAUUAAUUUAGUCUUUCGGCCUGUAGCAUCUAAACAAAAUGAAGCAACUGUCCCAUAUUUCUAACUGCAUUUGAAGUAGACAUUGAGACUCACAAAAAAUGGACGCUAUAGGACAGUGAUCAUGAUUUGUCUCAAUAUCAGAAUAACAACAAUGGGUCAAAUAGCAAUGGCUGGUGGAAUGGCCAUGAAGUAGGUCUGUAUAUGCAGUGUAAGCUUGUCCAGGCCCUGCAAGUCAGGAUGUAGGCUAUGAAUCUGAAGGAAAAGCAGGUAAAUAGGUAGUGGCCAUCCCCAAAAUGCACCAGAAUACAGGAAAUCAAAUCUAUUAUAUUCCAAAAAAA
ensembl:lncRNA